UUUGUAAAUGCCCAUUUCUCUAAUGCAAAUAGGAAGAUUGGAGGGUGGAGUAGACCUCCUAGGGGCUUUGUUAAAUUAAAUGUGGAUGCUGCCUUCGAUCAUGAUCUACUAAAGGGCACAACGAGGGCUGUCCUCAGGGAUGACAAAGGAAACUUCAUUGUAGGUGGAAAUUGGAAGAUUGAUUGUUGCACUGAUGUCCUGACAGCGGAAGCAUUAGCACUUAGGUUUGGCUUAUUGCUAGCACAGAAGGCGGGUUGCAAUCGUCUUGUUAUCAACUCUGACAAUAUGGAAGUCAUUGACACAAUGAAGAAUGGAGGACACUCUGUAGGAGCGGCAGCGGCAAUUUUUGAUGAUUGUUUUUUUAUAGCUUGUGAUUUUCCUCUUACUAGUUUUGAACAUUGUAUAGGGAAGCGAAGAAGGUAG
rnacentral:rRNA from 1 species